AAGAGCAAGGAUUUAGGGCACCAGCCCUGGGGUGGGGCAGAGCAGAGCAAUAAACAGUCUAGGAAGCUCAGCCCCUCAGGAAGGUCAGGGAAGUGAAGACUCCAAUGUCCUAUCUCUGAAGGAUGGUUUUCACUUUCAUUGAUACCUGAGGAAGUGGACAUCCUCAUAAGUGAGCACUGAAAUACUAAUCCUUGCUGGUAUUGUGCGUCCACCACAAAUCCCCUGGUUUAUGAAGUAGUUGGACGCUCCUGAGACCCUGAAGAUUCAAGUUAUUGGCAAAACUAUCUGGACUUCAAUGGGAGCAGGUUUAACAGACACAAUAGUCAAUUCCAGAAGGUUUCAGUGGACCAUGUAGUAACUUAAUGUCACUAGAGCAUGAAAGAAAAAAGGAAAACAGCUGGGAGAAAAAGUGCUGCUUUAAUGUGGAGUGGGCUUCCUCUCUAAAGGCACAUUAUAUCAAGAAACUGACAUCUGGCAUUUUCCACAUUUGGAUCGAAAGGGAUAUGUGAAGGCUUUGUGGAAUCAAUGCAGCAAGUUGUAACUGGUAUAUAUCAAAAGAAAAGUCUCUGCCUAACAAGUGCAUGGAGGAAAUACGGACAGAAUGUUUUGAAGUUGCUCCUGGGUUAUUUACAACACAAGUUUGGAUUAAAAGAUGGGUUUUAAAGAAUUCUUAAUGCUUUGCUCCACUCCUAAAAAUAUUCAGCUUGUAACAAUGCUGAAAUAGACAUUUGUACAGUGGUGAUUCUUCUAGUGUGAUAAAUCCCAUUUUAUGUUCCACAGACCUAAGGUCUCCAUGAUCUCUUUAUCUAUGCUUGUUAACCAGGCUUCAAGAAAAUUUACAAAAGGAAAAUCUAAAGUAAUAUUGUUUUUGACUGAGUUCCCUCCUGUUAGCUCUGAUUAAAAAAACACUUGUUUUUUCUCUAUAUUUAUAGCUUUCAUUUUUGUUGAUAAAUGUUCCUUUGCAGUCACAGGCUUGAUAUUACUAAUAAAUGUAGUCAGUGAAUAUGA